rnacentral:snRNA from 1 species
GUGCUCACUUUGGCAGCAUGUAGACUAAAACGGGAACGAUACAGAGAAUAUUUGCAUGGCUUCUGUGCACAAAUGACAUGCGAAUUCAUGGAAUGGUCCGAAUUGUU